UCUGAGGGGUGCCUCAAGUCUCAUUAGAGGUGCCUUGAGUCUAAAAAGGCUGAGAACCACUGCUUUACAGAAAUGUCUCAAGCUAGGAUAGUUUCAGAGAGAGAAAAUGUUUCUUUCUGGCAGGUCCCAACUAAAGGCUUGGAAGGGUGGGCUGGAGUUACAGCCACCACCUAGCACAGAUCGAAUAUCAAUAAUUAUUCAUGUGUUGCCUGAUACACAUUCAAAUAGGGAAAGAGGAUACUGGCCACAUAAAGUAAUGAACUUCUCUUCUUCUUCUUUUUUUUUUUUUUUUUUAUAACCAGACCUUAGUCUCCGUAUAGACGUCAGCAUCAGCCUUCCUCUACCGACUGGGUUCCCUUUUUUCACCAGGACAGGUGUGGCCAUAUUUGAAUCCACCAACCUUUAACUUUGCAUGCUCCGCCGCACAUCUAGCACUAUGCUGACUCACUGUUUUUGACUCUAACCGACUGGCAUAUGUUCCUGGCUUACAGGGUCUCUCUAUAUCAGAAUGCUUGCUUUAUUUCCCCUAACACACACAAAUGCAGAUACCCACACCUAUCCAUCCUUCAAGACGUUGCUUCGACUAGUCAAAUGAUACUGGUUUCUGCUAAACAUUAGAAACCAACAUGAGUCUGCCCUCGAGAACCCCAAGGUAAAACAAAGUUACCUCCUUUCAAUAUUUCUAACUAGCAGGCAUCUGGAGAAAUAUUCUGCAGAGAUAUGUAACAGAAGAUUGCGGCUCCCAUCGAGAAGAAAUUUUUGCCUUGACAUAUGUCACCGAAGUGUUGGACACUUAGUGACAGGGUGCUGGAGAAUAAUUAUAGACCUAUAAAAUAUAUUCAUCAAGAGGCAAGCAGAACCUAUUUCAUAUUUAUAUUUACAUUAUACAAUUAGGGCAAACACAGGGCCCAAAGUCAAAUGAGAGAUUUUGAUCAAGGCUCUUUUAGUCUCCACUAUUUCAAGGUGCUGAAUGCCCUCAAUUCCAAUGUCAUCAAGGAGAACUGAGGCUGCUCGGCAUCUCUCAGGGGAUGGUCAGCAUCUUGCAAGGUCAGGUCCUUACAAACAAUGUACCCUCUGCUGUCUCGGCAUGUUUUGCUCAGAGGACUUUUGGUCCUAAAAUUUUAUUUAUUUAUUUUUUUUAAACAGGGUUUCAAAAUCUUCACUGGUUCUAUUGAUAAAGAUCUAAAAGAUCCCGCCUGUCUGGAGAAAAGAAGUUUCCACUUGUCAGUUAAACAAAGGAAUAAUGCACAGCUUCCUUUAUAGUGUGUACUUUACCUGUCAUCCAACAGCCCAUUAUCAUGUCACGGCAGAGUGCACUUUUCUACAGGUCACUUUGUUUAAAAUGACAUGGAUAAUGCACAUGUCAGCGAGCUGACAGUCCCGACCGUCCUUCAGAGAUAAAAACCGCAAGACGAGCGCCUGUUCUUAUCUGGGGUACAUGCCUUGGUCUAUCAUCUAAGUCAGGCAGAACAUGAUUUCUCCAGAGAGCACUUUUUUCAUUUCCUGAUUUUAAGAAAAUCAAAUAAGCACCAUUUGUCUUCAUCUGAAUAUGCUUGACCUGCUCAAAUGAUGAUGUCUCGCAUUUUAUAACAGGCUACAUAUGCUGAAUUCAAAUUAACAGCAGAACAGGGCCCUUAGAUCUCUGCCUAGGCUGCCAGUACAGGCUGAAGAAAUACUCCAGGUUUAGCAGCUUUCUGUCAGAAUUGGGUCUCUGCUGUAAAAUUCAGAGCUAGGUUUGAUUCAGGGAUCUGGCUGCCUGGAAUUGUCAGGGAUGCUUGGAUCUGAGCUUAUAUCUCACCCUGUUAUAAAGAAAGCCAAGACACCAAUUGCCCAGUUCAUAUCUCAGUUUGGAUUUCAAAUUCUCUCUGCAGAACUACUGGGGUGAAGCACAAGGUGCCAUUGCAGGUCUCUGUCCAAUGCGGCAUUGAUUAAAUGUCUCUUAACUAGCAAUACAACAUACCUAAAAACUGCCCGGUUUGUCUUUAUGCAUUAGAUGCUCUUAAAGAAAAGCAUUAUGAAAUCUGGCCUAGGUAAGCUCUGUGAAUAGAGCAGCAGGAAAUUAGACUCGUAGUGCUCAGCUGAGUCGUGUUUAUUGUUUGCAUAUGGAACAUCCUGAAAAUAAGUAAUCACUAAACAGGGUAGAUUUGAACAGCAAUGCAACGGAAAUUCGUAUCUAAAAGUGUAAGUUAAUAUUCUGUACAGGAACCCAACAAAACCACACUUCUCUGUUGUCACACUCUGAUUAACUCCAGUGAUUAGUUCCCCUACAGAAGGGAAAUCACUAAUGGACUCAUGCUGCAGCUCAAAGUAAACAGGGCAGCUUAAUAUAGUUAGCAAAUGAUUAUUAAAACCAUGGGGCGGGGGGGGACCUCCAAACAUAUUCUUGGUUUGGAAAGUUACUGAAAACUAAAGGCCAGAUUUGACCAUUGAAAAGCUUAGGGUAGGAGUUUCCUUGAUUUCUUCUUCCUACACAAAUAUAUCACUGAUAGAUUUUAUCAAAUGUGAGCUCUGCAGUCCGUCAUUUCCCUGGCGAUUCCACAAUACAUCGAGGUGCGCCUUCUUCUUUCUUGGUUUACUUGGAGCUCAUCACCAACCUCCAAGUAUUGUGAAGAGAUCACAUGAAACCAAUUUCCCCACAUUCUUCCCCAAAACGUAUCAGGGCAAGGAAAGGAACAAGAGAAAGCAGUGAAAACUGUCAAAGAAAAGUCUGUGGAGUUUGGGUGUCAUCCAACAUCCACCUACAAACUGUAGAACUCAACCUAGAGAUAACAUUUUUAAACAAUUUUUUUCCCCACAAUGCCUAUUUUGUCUUUGACGGGCAAGAACAUUAUACACGAGAUUGUUCAUGGCACAGAAAAACGUAAGCGGACAAAUUAAAAUACAUUGAUAUAGGUACCCUAGCUAUUAGUAGCAUUAACAAUAAAUAGCUUUAUAGAUCACUUCUUCCCUAACAUUCCUUCAGCACAACACCCUCCCCCUCUCCUGCAGAGAAAAACCUAGACUCUUAGGGUAGAUUCGGUAACAGAAAGUAUUGAUCAGACUUCAAGCACAGUUUCCAAAUGUUGAUUAAAACAAAACAAACCCCAAACUUGACCUUGACCUGCAGACCCAUAUAUGUGAACCUUUGAAAUCAGCAACUGUGUGGAUAAAUGCCUGUUUAAAAGUAAAAAUAUGAGUCUUUAUAAAUGUAUGCCCCUGUACUGUCAAAAAAGCACUUCCCAAGGGUAAACACAGGUAUGUAAAAGGGUGGAAGUCAAAAUGGCUUUCACAGACUGCGCACACAAUCCUUUUGUUAGUGGGUGCAUCUACAUGCUCAUUCAAGCGCAGUGGUUACUGCACA